AACGAACGCUGGCGGCAUGCCUAAUACAUGCAAGUCGAACGAGAUCUUCGGAUCUAGAGGCGCACGGGUGCGUAACGCGUGGGAAUCUACCCUUGGGUUCGGAAUAACAGUUAGAAAUGACUGCUAAUACCGGAUGAUGACGUAAGUCCAAAGAUUUAUCGCCCAAGGAUGAGCCCGCGUAAGAUUAGCUAGUUGGUGAGGUAAAGGCUCACCAAGGCUACGAUCUUUAGCUGGUCUGAGAGGAUGAUCAGCCACACUGGGACUGAGACACGGCCCAGACUCCUACGGGAGGCAGCAGUAGGGAAUAUUGGACAAUGGGCGAAAGCCUGAUCCAGCAAUGCCGCGUGAGUGAUGAAGGCCUUAGGGUUGUAAAGCUCUUUUACCCGAGAUGAUAAUGACAGUAUCGGGAGAAUAAGCUCCGGCUAACUCCGUG
rnacentral:rRNA from 1 species